UCCGGCAUGGUUUAGAAAAAAAGAGAUUCAUCAUCAUUGAAUGACACACGAACAGCUGUUACAGAGGCCAUGAAAUGAAAGUGCCACGUUCCAGACACAGAUGCCAGUCUCCUGAUAAAAUUCUACUUCAAUCAGAACUUCCUGCUCAUCUCAGCAGAGGAAGAACCUUAUCUGGAAAUCUAACCCUGGCCUUUGCAACGUAACCUUCUAAUUUAUCAUAAUGAUGCUCCACACUCCCACAUCCCCACCAGAGAAUCAUUGAUUUUUGUAUUCUUUGGAUUGCUUUCAUGCUCAAAUUUCCUCAUCUGUAAGUAGAUACCAGAGACCUCAUUGCCUCCUUGAGAUUUCAUCCCAUAUUAUUCCUUUUAUCUAGUCAGACUCCACAAAUAUGUAGCCAGCACCCACUGUCUCCAUUUACUUUCCUCUAAUUGCUUCCAUA
rnacentral:lncRNA from 1 species